rnacentral:tRNA from 1 species
CCUCCGAUAGCUCAGUUGGUAGAGCGCAAGACUGUAAUGGGCUACCUUCUGUCAUCUUGAGGCCGCUAGUUCGAUCCUGGCUCGGAGGA